GAUGUGGCUGAAAGGGGGGGGGGCAACAUGAACAGGAUAACACUGCCCAGAACAUGUUCCUGGUGACCUGCGUCCUCUAACUAGGCCCCAUCUGGGACAACACUGAACGACACCACAGAAGCUACUGGACAGUGUAGUGAACUCAGGCUGUUGAAUGGUUCAGUGUUUCCAAGACUAAAGAUGAAAAAUCAUCCAGAAUAAUAAAGCAAAGGGUAUAAA